rnacentral:RNase_P_RNA from 2 species
AAUAUAAGUGGUCUUAUCGCCCCAAUCUGAUUAUUCAGGCCUUGGGGAGGAAAGUCCGGGCACCAAAGGGAAGCAUAGCGGCUAACGGCCGCCUCUCGAUUUCGAUCGAGACGGACCAGUGCAACAGAAAGAAUGUACAGGUUAAGCUGUAGUGAAAUCAGGUAAACUCUAUGCGGUGAAAUGCCACAUAAGCCUGCGAUUGAGAGUUCCCGCUCGAUGUAGGUGGGUAGGCAGAUAGACCUCAUUAGCAAUGAUGAGGCUAGAUAAAUGAUAAGAACGCUCCGACUUGUCGGGGUAAGACAGAACCCGGCUUAUAAGCUUAUAUUUUUU